GUGUGUGUGUGUGUGUGUGUGUGUGUGUGUGUGUGUCUGUGUGUGUGUUUUUGUGUGUGUGUGUCUGUGUCUGUGUGUCUGUCUUUUUUUUUUUUUUUUUCUUCAAGGUUUCCACCCUCUACUCCAUUCCCCUCCUUUCUCCAACCACUUUUUGUUUAACGUUUGUGAUAACGUACAUAUCAAAUUAAAAACAACUUGCAUUUAGGUUUGUCCUUCUUUUCUAUAGUGACUGCACAUUUUAGCUAUUAAAAGAACCAAAGAUUGUCCAGCCACUGAAGUCAUAUGAGUUUGAUGUAAUCCUCAUCACUGACAGUUUUGACCUUUUCUUCUUCCACCUGUGGCAGCCAGCAAAUCUGCAGCAACUACUAUGCGAUGCUAUCGUGUCAAUAUGGACCAAAAUCUCCGAGGAAUGUUUCCAGCACCUCGAAUCUAUGCCGCGAAGAAUCAAGGCAGAUCUGAAGGCAAAAGGGGAGUCCAACCCGGUAGUAGCAAGGUGUCCCUAAUAAAGUAGCUGGUGGCAUUAGAGGCGGCAGUUUAAUCUGGAUUACAGGAGAUUUUACACACAGAUCAGCAUUUAACAAAGACCCCCUUACUUGAAUUUGCACUAACUCUUACAAGGUACCUUGCUGUUUAUCUGUGUGUGUGGGGGGAGGCUGUUUGGGCAAACAAAAACACAAAAACCUGAGUCAGGAGGUGGAGCGAAAAAAGAGGUAACGGUUUAAAAGUGUGGAGAAGCUUCUGUUUAAGAAACAUUAACAACAUCAAACAUUAGUGACGCCCCAUUCGGGUUAGACUUCAUCACUGGUGGGACAUUUCUGUCAUCUCUGGAAUAACCUUGUUUGGUAGUGUUUAUUGGUGUUUGAUGACGCCAAGUAUGGUGUUAAAACAGUCUCCUAAGAAUUUGCAACUCUGGGAAACACAAUGCACAAAUGAAUGCAGAAUGAUUUGUAUCUGUGUCUGUUAGUGAUGGUCAAAUGAAGCUUUGUGAACCAUUUUCCCUUUUUUUUUUUUUCUGAGCCCGCUAGAUGGGGCUCUCUCUUCAACAAAGGGUUUGAAAACACACUGAAUUGCCAUCCCUUUUAAUGUUUUUCUUUGAAAUGAGAGCGCCAUCUGGUGAGCUCAGAAAAUAAAGAAAAUGGUUCACGAAGCUUCAUUUGACCAUCGCUAGUGUCCAUGCGUCUAAUUUGUAACUCGUAUUUCAUCAUUUGUAAAUCAACUUAGUAUUUUUCAAUGGAGAUGUAUUUGUAUAUCUCCUUCUAUUUCUGCGGAUACUUUUGAGACUGUUUUUCCGCGCCAUGGAGACAAGUUGCACAUUUUUAUUUUUUUAGCACCAUACCAAGGUUUCAAGUAUUCAUUUUGUGAUGAUUUGUUUGUGAUUUUAUGUUUACACUAACUUGUAAAAUGAAGGUUAUGAAAGUGUACUGUGGGGAGAAGAAGGAGAUGAAUAUUUUUGCGUGUGGGUAUGACUAACAGUAGAUAUUAUGGUACCUUGGAUGAGUUAAUGGCCAUUUUUUGGAAAGAGAAUACCAUUGUGAUUUUAUUCACUUUUACAGUAAAAUUGUUCAAUUAAACACGUUUGGCACA